rnacentral:rRNA from 1 species
UACGUAGGGUGCAAGCGUUGUCCGGAAUUAUUGGGCGUAAAGAGCUCGUAGGCGGUUUGUUGCGUCGGCUGUGAAAUCCCGAGGCUCAACCUCGGGUCUGCAGUCGAUACGAGCAAACUAGAGUGUUGCAGGGGAGACUGGAAUUCCUGGUGUAGCGGUGAAAUGCGCAGAUAUCAGGAGGAACACCGAUGGCGAAGGCGGCUAUCUGGCUCACAAACUGACGAUCAGGCACGGAAAGCGUGGGGAGCAAACACGG